rnacentral:rRNA from 1 species
UCCGUGCUAAUACCGCAUAAUGUCUUCGGACCAAAGAUUUAUCGCCCUGGGAUGAGCCCGCGUAGGAUUAGCUAGUUGGUGGGGUAAAAGGCCUACCAAGGCGACGAUCCUUAGCUGGUCUGAGAGGAUGAUCAGCCACACUGGGACUGAGACACGGCCCAGACUCCUACGGGAGGCAGCAGUGGGGAAUAUUGGACAAUGGGCGAAAGCCUGAUCCAGCAAUGCCGCGUGAGUGAUGAAGGCCCUAGGGUUGUAAAGCUCUUUACCCGGGAUGAUAAUGACAGUACCGGGAGAAUAAGCUCCGGCUAACUCCGUG